rnacentral:lncRNA from 1 species
CACCAAAUUUCAGAAAAUAUGUACCUCAGCCAGGAAAGCCACCCCCCACUACUAAUUCUUCAACACCAAAGAAGCAGCAGCAGUCAACAUCCACUCCAAAUUAUAUGAAGUCCACCAGCAGUUCUGUUGCAAGGAAAGAGCAAUCUCAGGUUAGUUCAAGGAGCCCUCAAACUUAUUCUCAAAGUUCUAGCAGAAAAAAUUCAAGUAACUCAAAGUUAGGCUCAUCUAAUUCUGUUAACAAACCAACAAGGAGUUUAUUAGCUAGAACUUCUAGUUUGAAACUAGUGAGGACCACCCUGACAAAAACUCCUAGUUUUAAACCAGCAAGAGUUUCAGCGAAGAAACCAUGUUCCCCUAUUGUUCUGUGUGAAGACUUUCAUGUAGAGAGGGCUACAUGUUCAUCAACUUUGAAAGAAGCCAAGUUUCCUUCAUACCUUGAACUUAGUCCUGGAGGAACAGAAUCAGCUGGAACUUCUGUCUUCAAGGUUUGCCCAUACACAUAUUGCUCCCUUAAUGGUCACCAUCACCCUCCUUUGCCUCCCUUAAAG